CUGGCCUUGACAUGCUGAGAACUUUCCAGAGAUGGAUUGGUGCCUUCGGGAGCUCAGACACAGGUGCUGCAUGGCUGUCGUCAGCUCGUGUCGUGAGAUGUUGGGCUAAGUCCCGUAACGAGCGCAACCCUUGUCCUUAGUUACCAGCACCUCGGGUGGGCACUCUAAGGAGACUGCCGGUGACAAACCGGAGGAAGGUGGGGAUGACGUCAAGUCAUCGUGGCCCUUACGGCCAGGGCUACACACGCGCUACAAUGGUCGGUACAAAGGGUUGCCAAGCCGCGAGGUGGAGCUAAUCCCAUAAAACCGAUCGUAGUCCGGAUCGCAGUCUGCAACUCGACUGCGUGAAGUCGGAAUCGCUAGUAAUCGUGAAUCAGAAUGUCACGGUGAAUA
rnacentral:rRNA from 1 species